UGUAUGUGCAUAUACACCUGUACUUAUGUGUGUUUACACAUGUGAACAUGCAUAUACACACAUGCAAACCACACACAUAUACAUGAAAGACA
rnacentral:miRNA from 1 species